rnacentral:rRNA from 1 species
UACGGAGGGGGCAAGCGUUAUCCGGAUUUACUGGGUGUAAAGGGAGCGUAGACGGCUGCGCAAGUCAGAAGUGAAAGCCCGGGGCUCAACCGCGGGACUGCUUUUGAAACUGUGUAGCUAGAGUGCAGGAGAGGUAAGUGGAAUUCCUAGUGUAGCGGUGAAAUGCGUAGAUAUUAGGAGGAACACCAGUGGCGAAGGCGGCUUACUGGACGAUGACUGACGCUGAAGCACGAAAGCGUGGGUAUCGAACAGG